rnacentral:tRNA from 1 species
GCCGAUUUAGCUCAGUUGGUAGAGCAGUUGACUUUUAAUCAAUUGGUCGCAGGUUCGAUCCCGUUAAUCGGCACCA